AGUUUGAUCAUGGCUCAGGAUGAACGCUAGCGGCAGGCUUAAUACAUGCAAGUCGAGGGGCAGCACGGUUAGCAAUAACUGGUGGCGACCGGCGCACGGGUGCGUAACACGUAUACAAUCUACCUUAAACAGGGGGAUAGCCUUUCGAAAGAGAGAUUAAUACCCCGUAAUAAAUUGAACGGCAUCGUUUGAUUUUGAAAGCUCCGGCGGUUUGAGAUGAGUAUGCGUCUGAUUAGCUAGUUGGUGAGGUAACGGCUCACCAAGGCGACGAUCAGUAGGAGAUCUGAGAGGACUAACCCCCCACACUGGUACUGAGACACGGACCAGACUCCUACGGGAGGCAGCAGUAAGGAAUAUUGGUCAAUGGAGGCAACUCUGAACCAGCCAUGCCGCGUGCAGGAUGACGGCCCUAUGGGUUGUAAACUGCUUUUAUACAAGAGAAAACCCUGGUACGUGUACCAGGUUGAUAGUAUUGUAAGAAUAAGCAUCGGCUAACUUCGUG
rnacentral:rRNA from 1 species